ACCUGUCUCUCGUUUUAGCAGUUUUCCUUUUUUUUUCUUUAAUUUUAAUUUUUCUUUUGAGGAGGGGCUGUAACUCAUCAUGUCGAAAGUGAUCCAGAAGAAGAACCACUGGACUGGCCGCGUUCACGAAUGCACCGUGAAGCGGGGACCCCAGGGCGAGCUGGGGGUGACGGUGCUGGGGGGCGCGGAGCAUGGGGAGUUUCCGUACGUGGGGGCGGUGGCGGCGGCCGAGGCGGCGGGGCUUCCCGGCGGUGGCGAGGGACCGAAGCUGGCUGAAGGUGAGCUGCUGCUGGAGGUGCAGGGGGUCCGGGUGUCCGGCUUGCCCCGCUAUGACGUGCUGGGAGUCAUCGACAGCUGCAAGGAGGCCGUCACCUUCAAAGCCGUCAGACAAGGUAAGA
rnacentral:lncRNA from 1 species